UGCCCUAAAGAACUAGUUUCACUAUUUCCUUCCGUGUUAAAAAGCUUUGAGAUUAGAGCGCUUAGUGACAAAGAGAGAGAAUGGGAAGCCGUACAAAUGGCGUUGCUGGCGGUAGCAGCAAUCGACCGAUGGAUAAGGGAGCUGAUUUUGCCAAUUACUUCUGCACUUAUGCUCUUCUUUACCACCAGAAAGAGAUGCUCAGUGAUCGAGUCCGCAUGGACGCUUACUACAAUGCUGUUUUUAAGAACAAACAUCAUUUCCAAGGAAAGACGGUGUUAGAUGUAGGAACCGGAAGUGGCAUUCUUGCCAUCUGGUCUGCCCAGGCUGGUGCAAGGAAGGUCUAUGCUGUUGAAGCAACCAAGAUGUCAGAGCAUGCCAGGACUCUUGUUCAGGCAAACAAUCUUCAAGACAUCGUUGAAGUAAUUGAGGGCUCUAUGGAAGAAGUUGUUUUGCCAGAGAAAGUUGAUGUGAUUAUCUCGGAGUGGAUGGGCUACUUUCUCUUGCGCGAGUCUAUGUUUGACUCUGUGAUCUGUGCUCGAGAUCGUUGGCUGAAACCAACUGGAGUCAUGUAUCCUAGCCAUGCACGCAUGUGGGUGGCACCUAUUCGGUCUGGAUUGGCGGAUCAAAAGAAAAUUGAUUUUAAAGGAACAAUGGAUGAUUGGUAUGGGUUUUUGGAAGAUACGAAGGAUUACUAUGGUGUCGAUAUGAGUGUUUUGACAAUACCUUUCUCAGAAGAGCAGGAGAAAUAUUAUCUGCAGACAUCAUUAUGGAACAACCUCCAUCCAAAUCAAGUUAUUGGGACAGCAGCGGUUAUAAAGGAUAUCGAUUGUUUAACCGCUUCUGUAAAUGACAUCCUUCAAAUCAAAUCAAGUUUCUCCGCAGCUAUCAGCAUGGUGUCCACUCGCUUCUGUGGAUUUGCAGGAUGGUUUGAUGUGCAUUUCCGAGGAAGAGGGGAGGAUCCUGCUCAACAAGAGAUUGAGUUAACAACUGCUCCUAGUCCAAAUAAUGGCACUCAUUGGGGACAACAGGUUUUUUUCUUUCAUCCUCCUCUUCAUGUUGAUGAAGAGACCAACCUCAAUGCUUCUUUCUCAAUGAACCGUUCUAAGGAAAAUCAUCGAUUAAUGGAGGUUGAAUUUGAUGUUAAGAUUAGCAAACCUUCUGGAAAAGUACUUACUCCAAUUAAAAAGAAGUUCUACAUAGAGUGAGGACAGCAAUGAAUUUCUGAUUCUUUUUUUCCAAUUUCAACAAUAUGUAGGUUAUAUUGUCGUCCUCAUUAUGAUCAAGCAAUGCUGAUUCUGAACUUGUCACUAGCUGCAAUGGCAGCAUCCCCUCUUUCUAGAGCAGUGACAUCAGUUGGAGUACCAUCAUCGCAACUCAUUGGAAGAGAAAGCCAUUCACCUUUAAUUCUGGUUUUAAUAUGAUA